rnacentral:rRNA from 1 species
GAUGAACGCUGACAGCAUGCUUAACACAUGCAAGUCGACUUGUUGCGGACGUGCGAGUAACGCGUAAAGAACUUGCCUCACAGCUAGGGACUACAUUAGGAAACGAAUGCUAAUACCUGAUACUUUGAGAGAGCUUUGCGUCCCAUUAGCUAGUUGGAGAGGUAAUGGCUCACCAGGGCGAUGAUGGGUAGCCGGCCUGAGAGGGUGAUCGGCAACAAGGGGACAGGGACACGACCAUUAGUCAUACGGGGGGCAGCAGUGAGGAAUUUUGGACAAUAGGCCGAAGUCUGAUGAAGCAUUUCGGUGUGCAAGAUGAAGGUUUCGGGAUGUAAAGUGCUGUCAGUUGGGAAGCGGUACCAACAGAAGAAGUGACGGCUAACUACGUGCCAGCAGCCGCGGUAAUAC